CUAUGCUGAAGUGGGUGGUGCAUUGUCUCUAGCUGCAUGGAAUGCUGGGAAAGGUCAGAGACAACUUGCCCUACAGCACUUCUGUGCAUGAAGAUGGGACCGAGCAGAGUACCCCUUUAAGUGAGCAAAAGACUCCGCCAAAGCACAGGAUGACAAACCAAGUGAGCAACACAUACUUUUCUUUUGGAUAACAUGACCCUGCUUUUGC